ACCACUUUAUCGACAUUUAACUUAUAUAAUAAUGAUGUUAAUGAUUGGAGGGUAGUUUUAAUAUCUACCUACGCGACUUGUUUACAACAUGUUUACAAUCGAAAUGUGAAAUAAAUAUACCACUUCGUUUACUCUAACGUUAAAUUAAGUGAUACUUAUACUUUCGUAAUGGAGAUGAGUUUUAAAAGGGCUAUUCAUUUAAAACAUUUUCGCUCCAAAGCUGCGGUCGAGAUAUUACAAAGAUGGGCUUACAAUAUUACUUAUGCUUCUUUAGAAAAACCUCUCCUAACUACGUUAAUAACAAUGACUGCAUGUGUAAUCUUCCUAACAGUAAUGUUAAUGCUGGCAGUCAUUUUUGCUGGUGUAAUAUGUCUUACAAGCAUUAUUUUGUUAAUAGAAGGGUUUUUAUUGGUGGUGAUAAUAAUUGCAGUUAGUUUAUUUACAAUUAUUGGUUUAUACAUAUAUGUCGUUGGCAUUACUUU